rnacentral:tRNA from 1 species
UCCCCGGUAGCUCAAUCGGUGGAGCAGGUGGCUGUUAACCACAAGGCUGUAGGUUCGAGUCCUGCCCGGGGAGCCA